GGCCCGCCUGGACUGCGCCUGUGUCCUCAGGAGCCGGGAAGCUUUGGACAGUGACCUGUGCACUCCGGACGCCGAUACAGAGAGAGAGAUUGUGUUUUGCGAUUACUCCACAGGACUCCUCCCUGGGCAUCACAUGGAAAUUACACAUUCCCUCCGGACUGCAAUCCUCUGGGAAAGAGUCAGAACACUGCUACCUCCUCCACCCACUGAGUAGGCACUCUCUGACCAAUGGAAAGAAGGAAAGAAAAAAACCCAGCAAGAACAAACGACAGAUCAAGUGGGACACUGAGUAGAGAGGAACUAUUUCAGGCACCUCACCCCACAAAUGGGAACUGUGGAGAAUGGUGAUAAAUCACCACAGAGGUGAUCGAGUGGCUCCGGGCGCCGUCAG